GGAGGAAAAAAGAAUUCACUGAACAACUUCACAGAUGCUGAUAAAUUGAGAAUGUUAACCUCAGGCCUGUAUUUAUUAACUUAAUUGCUUUAAGUCUUCAAUUCUCCAUUCUCCUACUUAUUUAUUAUCCAUUUUUUAGCUAGAAUUCAAGACUUCAGCAAUUCUGUUAAGUAGUUUAACAGAAGCAAUCAAGCUCGAGAGGAAGACAAACCAGUUUGUUGGUUAACCUAGAGUAGAGUUCUUGAGAGGCUGAUAAGGGUAACCAGCAUUCUGUAAGAUCUUUAGCUUUGCACUUCAUUGUUUAUACAAGAUCAACAGUGUAGCUGAAUGUAACUUACUAGUACAUGUUAAAAUCAAAAUCUUGCUAGAGUAAUGCAAGCUCCUGCUAAGUUGCCAUGUGCUGGCUGUAGUCCAACAAAACCAUACGUAGCAUCAGAGCUCUGACUACUAAGUGCUGCCAAGUAACAGAGAGCUGCAAGCCACUCCUCUGAUUCAAAUCUGUUCAAAACAUUUUGAUGAAAUAACUAUCCCAGCCAGCUCGUGUGUGACUAGGCCACCCACCCCACACUGUGUGAAAGACUGCCCUCACUUGUGCUUCCUGCUCUUAGUCAUCCAGCAGCCUGCGCUGACAAAUGGUCUCAAUGCAAGUUCAAUCAAACUGCUGUGGGUUGACAGCAGUGAGGGUGCAAAAAAAAUGAGAGAUAACAGCCUUCAAAGGUCUUCAGAACUUAGGAGGAGAUGAUUACACAAUGGCAGGGAGACCUGUCACCUGCCUGACUCUUGAUCAUCUUCUAAAAAUGGGUUGUAGCUCCCCAGUAGAUGGCAUUUGAUGUUAAAAUAGUGGUAGUUGCAUAGUGGAAAAUAUUUUCUAGCCAAAAUGAUAGACUUCUGCAUAUACACAUUCUAAAGAUGAAAUUUAGGAUCAGCACAAUGCCCCAUGUCAUGGGACAGCAAAAAAAAAAACCCACCUCUAGCGAUGUGUGAGCUCCUAUCCAAGUUUCUCCCACAUCACUAACUAGACAACAGAACUCUGGAGGAUUUAUUCUCUCCUCUCUCAGCUUCCCAAAUCCUUGGCAGUAGGUUGUGCCAAGUUUCACGGUGGAUUGUAGCAGGCACAGAGUGUCCUUUAGAUGCUAGGACAAGGCAUCACUAAUUCCUUAUUAUGUAAAGAGAAGACCAUGUUCAGGUCCUUAAGAGUGAAAAAGGCCAGCAUACAUUAUCCAGACUAAAGCACUGUGCCACUAUGAAAGCCAAGCCUGAAUGAUUUGGAAACUAUCCCGGUUUCAGAGGAACUGAGUGCUGCUCAAAACCGAGGGCCAAGCUCUGCUUUCUUAUGCCUGUUCAAUUGGGAAAAGAAAGGCCCAGUCCUCCACAGAACAGAAUUUAAAUUUAGUGUGUAUAUGGGGGGAGGGUGGCCUCCAAAGGGAAAUUAACUAGUUUUUGACUUAAGUAGAUGUGAAGGUGUUACUUCUGGGGUUCAGGAACAUCUCUUCAAGGAAGUAAUCUUUGAAAUAUGGGAUCUAUUGAAGUCCACCACAACACAAAAGCUGAAGGUAAAACAUAUCUGCUUUGGUAGCACCUCUUACUCUGAUCUUUCAGAGGAGCAGUUAAGCUUUUGUGGAGCCUUGAGCAAGAGCAAAUCCCAGUGUCACUGACUGUCCUGCUUGGGGAUGGUGGGCCUGGCCCUGCAGGUAUGCUCUGGGGAAGGCUUGCUCCAGGGCACAGCUGGAGCCAGGAAAGUCUGAAGCCCCAAACCCUGCUGAGCAGGAGUGAACUCUGCCUCUCCAGCCUCACCAUAACCAGGACACUGUAUUGAUUCAGCCCACAUAGUUACUCAGACUUCACCAGGUUAUGUACACAAAGCUGUUCUGCCAGAAUGAUGCCAGUACUACUCCUGCAGGCACCCAAUGCGUCGUUUAGUGACAUAUGGGAUCAGUAGGAAGGUUAAAUAGUUCAGGAUAGCUGCUUUGUACAGUUUUAAUAGGAAACCAAAGUACAAAAGGAGAGAUUAGCUUCCUCACACUCCAUAUGGAGGAUGCAGUAUGAACAGGUGAACAAAGUGUAGUUUGACUGAAGACUCACGCAGAAGCUCCAGUUUAGUUACAGUACAGUCACAGGUUGCUGUAAAUUUUAUUGUAACAAACAUUAAACUUUCAUACCAAGUGAACUAGGGAAAAAGGCCCAAGGCUAAUAAAGUAUCAGUGUGCUUUCAGCUGAAACACCUACUUGUCACCCUUAUACGUAUAUCAGAAUAGGGACAGCUUUUAGAUUUGAGGCUUUAUCCUUUUCUGGGCAACUUUCAAUUUUGAGCAGAAUUGAGCCUUAAGUAGUUGUAAUUGAAAUGGCUUGUCACAUGACUUGCUGUUGUAAAUGAGAGACUAGGGAAAUCUGACUUGAACCAACUUCAUUAGGCACUUUAUUCUAGUUUAUCUGCUAGAACGUUUUAUUAUGAUGUUGAGUGUAGCUCACAGUGUGGGUUUCUGGUUCCCUGACAGGAAGUUCCUGCCCUUUGUGGCAUGGGUGGAUAACAUCGAGAAUGUGCCAACAGUUUGUUCUGCUUCAUGGCUUGGCUAGCUUUUUUAGGACUCGCUAUGGCUGUAUUAUUCUCCCAGUCGGAAACGCUGGUUUCUGCAGUGGCUAUGUGAGUUAACAGCUCAUCUGACCCCACCCAGAGGUGACACCAUAUCUAGAGAUACGACUACUUCAAAAUUAGACCUGUUUCCAUGGUUUAUUUCAGGUUGCUGAUGGUCUGUUUAUUAUUCUAUCUUUUAUAUGACCCUAAGAAACACAUUUCCAUACCUUAUCCUCUAAGACCAACUGGGACAAAGAUACGACCUCAACUUUCAAGCAAAACAGCAAAGCAACCCCAGAUCAAUACAGUUGAAGUAAAAACUGAAGUAAAGGUGCCUUACAUUACUAUCCCUUAUUUUUCCCACUUAAGGGAGUAAACCUUGUCAAGCCAACUCAAGGGACUGUACUGGUCUGUUGCAGGCAAGGCUACCAGCAUCUGUGUGUACUGUCCAAACAAGGUUAUGUGCACAACUGCAGCUGUUUGGUGACUGGAUGCUGAGAUUAGCUUUAGCCAUAGAUUGCUGCAAUGAAAAAACUGCAGCAAAGGUAAGACAAAUAGAUGUCACCUUAUGCAGUAUGAAGUUCAUUAACAUGAACUUGGGAUGAGUAAGAAGGAAAAACGCUGAUAGGCAGAAGAAAAGCUGCCAAAACCAGAAAAUAGGAUAGUUCUGUAAUAGUGAAAAAAUCUCCUUCCAUGAACCAGCCAAAGCAGCACCAUACAGAAAAUCAUCAGAUUCAUCCGACUCCAAGUCAACUGAGCAAGUGAAAUAGAUCAUCUGUAUUCUAAUACAGAUCAUAAACAGAAUUUUAAAGGAACAUACCUCAAAGUUUUUUGAGACCCCUAUAUAAGUAAAAGUCAGAAUCAACCCUGGAACUGGAGAAGAUUUUAAAAUUUCUCUAAACUGAGGAAGCAGAUAAGACUUGGGGCAAGCUGGGUGAGCACAAACAAAAGGUAGGCUGUUUCCCAACUCAGGUUUAUUUGGUUUCAUUGAUAACAGGUCUGUUGUGCAGUCAGCUAACGUGAAAAGGCUUUAAAAAGUUUUAAAACCAUUUUACAGCUGUAUUCCCACAGCAAGUGCUGCCUAGCAAACAUGGAAUCAGUUCCAUACUACUGAGCAGGUAGCAACUCAAUAAGCUUACUCGUAUUUGCACAAUGGUUAUUUUCACUAAUCUAGUCCUUCAUGCUAACCUAUGAAGGAAAACAGUUGUCAGCAGAUGCAUGAACAAGUAGCUUAACCGACUUCCAUAGAACCUGAAGAAAUUAUUUACAAAGAUUCAUUAUUUUAAAUAGUAACUGUGCGGAUACUUUUCAAUAGAGUCAUUUGUAUUCAGCCAUUUCGUUUCCUGUACUCUCUUUGGUUUGUUUUAGUUCUUCAGCCAGCUGUCAGUGCAAUGAAUAAGAGCAGCUGUGGUUUCCUGUUAAUUCUGGCCACUAGCAUGCAAGCCACUACAUAAGCAAGGGAAAGAAUAAUCUAACCCACUGCAUGGAUCCAGCUACCAUAAGCAUUAGUCCUGUCUUAGCAAUGCUCUGUUUGGAUCGUAAGCCAUUUGAGUUCCUCCAUGCAAGAAAACUGCUCAUGUCCAUGAAUAUCUGAAGGACUGGUGGCAAGUGGAUGGGACCAGGCUCCUUCUGGUGGUGCCCAGCAACAGAUCAAGAGGCAGUGGAUAUAAAGUGGAAGAAAGGAAGCUCCACGUGAACAUGUGGAAAAGCUUAUGCCAAGACAGCCCAUGGAAUCUCCUUCUUUGGAGAUGCUUAAGACCUGCCUGGAUGCUUUCUUGCAUAAACCACUA